CGUCGGCAGCGUCAGAUGUGUAUAAGAGACAGGCCUGCAAGUGAUAGCAGAAGUGUUAGUGGAACAGUCUGGAAAGUCUGGCAAUAGAGGGUGAUAGCCCCGUACACGAAAACACAUCUGUGGUACUAAGCUUGCGUAAAGUAGGUCGGGACACGAGUUAUCUUGACUGAACAUGGGGGGACCAUCCUCCAAGGCUAAAUACUACUAACUGACCGAUAGUGAACCAGUACCGUGAGGGAAAGGCGAAAAGAACCCCGGCGAGGGGAGUGAAAUAGAACCUGAAACCUUGUGCUUACAAGCAGUCGGAGCAGACUUGUUCUGUGACGGCGUACCUUUUGUAUAAUGGGUCAACGACUUAAUUUCAGUAGCAAGCUUAACCAUAUAGGGUAGGCGUAGGGAAACCGAGUCUUAAUAGGGCGCUCAGUUGCUGGAAUUAGACCCGAAACCGGGUGAUCUAUCCAUGGCCAGUGUGAAGGUCGAGUAACAUCGACUGGAGGCGCGAACCCACUUAUGUUGAAAAAUGAGGGGAUGAGCUGUGGAUAGGAGUGAAAGGCUAAUCAAACCCGGAGAUAGCUGGUUCUCUUCGAAAACUAUUUAGGUAGUGCCUCGUGUAUUACUGUAGGGGGUAGAGCACUGUUUCGGCUAGGGGGUCAUCCCGACUUACCAAACCGAUGCAAACUCCGAAUACCUACAAGUAUGAGCACGGGAGACAGACUGCGGGUGCUAACGUCCGUAGUCGAGAGGGAAACAACCCAGACUGUCAGCUAAGGUCCCUAAUUAUGAUUAAGUGGGAAACAAUGUGGGAAGGCACAAACAGCUAGGAAGUUGGCUUAGAAGCAGCCAUCUUUUAAAGAAAGCGUAAUAGCUCACUAGUCGAGUCGGCCUGCGUGGAAGAUAUAACGGGGCUAAAUCAUAAACCGAAGCUACAGAUCUUAAAUUUAUUUAAGAUGGUAGAAGAGCGUUCUGUAAGCGGAUGAAGGUGAGCUGAGAGGCGAGCUGGACGUAUCAGAAGUGCGAAUGUUGACAUGAGUAACGAUCAAAGAGGUGAAAAACCUCUUCGCCGAAAAACCAAGGGUUCCUGUCCAACGCUAAUCGUGGCAGGGUGAGGCGGCCCCUAAGGCGAGGGCGAAAGCCGUAGUCGAUGGGAAACAGGUUAAUAUUCCUGUACUUUUUAUAACUGCGAUGGGGUGACGGAGAAGGUUAGGCUAGCACGGCGACGGUUGUCCGUGUUCAAGGUUGUAGGCUGGUGUUCUAGGUAAAUCCGGAACGCCAUAUAGGCUGAGGACUGAUAACGACCACUCUACGAGUGGGAAGUAGCUGAUACCAUGCUUCCAGGAAAAACCUCUAAGCUUCAGGUUAUAAGAAACCGUACCCUAAACCGACACAGGUGGUUAGGUCGAGUAGACCAAGGUGUUUGAGAGAACUAUGGUGAAGGAACUAGGCAAAAUAGCACCGUAACUUCGGGAGAAGGUGUGCCUUACUGGUGAUGUGAUUUACUCACUAAGCUAAGUAAGGUUGCAGUGAAAUGGUGGCUGCGACUGUUUAUUAAAAACACAGCACUCUGCAAACUCGCAAGAGGACGUAUAGGGUGUGACGCCUGCCCGGUGCCGGAAGGUUAAUUGAUGGGGUUAGCUUCGGCGAAGCUCUUGAUCGAAGCCCCGGUAAACGGCGGCCGUAACUAUAACGGUCCUAAGGUAGCGAAAUUCCUUGUCGGGU
rnacentral:rRNA from 1 species